ensembl:lncRNA
UCUUUUUUCUAUCUCCAACUGGGCUCAGAGGUAGAUGAAAUGCUCUUGAAAGAGGAGAUAGGAGGAGUGAAGAAAUAUAUUAAAGUUCCACAGACUGAUGAAGUAUUUCAAUUUGAGAAGUUCCUUCAAAAGGAACAGAUAAGUUUAGUCUGCAGCCAGACAGUUUCAGUGAUGGCCAGCUCUCGGUCACUGAUGUGUCAAGAACAGAGGUGGAUGGAGAUGUCUUUGAUGAACUUGUCAAGUCAGGAUGUCUUGACCUUCAAGGUCCCUUUACCAGUAAUGGAUCUGGAUGUUCAGCUGGUCUCAGAUCAAGCAUCCUCCUCUGUACUGACUCCACGAUCCCCAGCUUCAUCCCAUUCAUCAGAUUCCACAAUUGUCCUUGAGUCCACAAGAAAGAGGAGGAACCCAACAGGGUUAAUGGACCGGAAUGAAGCAAGACAGAAAGUUGAUUGUGUUCUGAGGGCCAAUCCAAAGGGUGAGGAAAUCUUCAAGGAUUAUGAAAAGACCAAAACACUAACAGAUGCCACACGUAACAGAUGAUGCACAUCCUGGUUGCAGACAUGUUAGAGCUACAUGGGUAAGAAUUGGAGGUCACUUCCCUACCAUUGUCAUCAGAACAGAUUCAUGUGGUGCAGCUAAAGAAUGCUAUUCUGUGUUGGUGGAAAAGGGGCAUUUAUUCUUUAACUUCUUGCAAAACAUAAACGCUUGCAAAGUAAACUGAUUUAUUUUGAAAGGAGGAUUCCCUUGUCAAGUGUGAGGACCAAUUAUGCACUGGGAAUUGUGGCACUUUUUCCACACCUCCAAGAUUCUUUCUCCAAGCAUGGAUAUGGAAGUACUUGUAUUCUGUCUGAAAACCCAAACCAGUG